ACUGCUGUGGAUAGAGUUCUAUCUCAUUUUGUGUAUCUACGAUAUCCCUGUCCUUGCUCUGACAAGGAUUUUCUUUACUUCCAGAUAAAAAGUAUUGAAAGGCACCUGAGAGAUGGAUCGUUACAGAAUACCUAAGCACCAGCAGCCCCAGGCUGUCUAGAUAACUUCAAUGAGAGAGGGGUCUGUACCAUUCCUUCGCACCUCCCUACCAGACAACUCUCAAGUUGGCCUCCACUCUGCAUGCUCACCCAUCCCAGCUUUGCAGUGUCAUGGACUGUGCCUCAGAGAUGCCGUUUCAGACCAGCAUUACUGUUGGCCAUAUGGAGUGGUGAAUACUUCACUUUGAGGAAAACAACCUAACUUAUUAAGUAGAAAGUAGCAAAGUCUCUUCUUCACCAUCUCAUCUCUUGUAAAGGUCAAGGAAAUGUUUAUGUUUCACUCUGCAUGUGACCAUCCGUUCUUUUUCUGGAAAUACAUAAAUCAUACUGAUUUUCACACACCACUUUUUUAGCUCUGAGGGAGUAACACUGUGGAGGAAGAAGCUAAGUAUGAGCUUACAAGUAAUUUUAGAUAAAGAAAAAAGGAUUGGUGAGGGCAGAGACGGAGAAAUACAGAUUUUAUUACAGCAGUAAGAAUAAUGUUGACCUUAUCACUUGACAGAACCUAGCCACCUCUACAUCCAAACAUAACUUCAUUGAUAAUAAAGGAUAUACUAAGUUAGGUGGAGCCUUUUAUGUUACAUAAACCCAUGAAGCAUAAAUUCAGCACAAACUGUUGUUUGAAUCAGGAGAGGGUCUUAUGAAAAACUUCACAGGUUAAAAAAAAAAAA